UAUACCGUGAAACUGCGAAUGGCUCAUUAAAUCAGUUAUCGUUUAUUUGAUAGUACCUUACUACUUGGAUAACCGUGGUAAUUCUAGAGCUAAUACAUGCUAAAAACCCCAACUUCGGGAGGGGUGUAUUUAUUAGAUAAAAAACCAAUGCCCUUCGGGGCUCUUUGGUGAUUCAUGAUAACUUAACGGAUCGCAUGGCCUUGCGCCGGCGACGGUUCAUUCAAAUUUCUGCCCUAUCAACUUUCGAUGGUAAGGUAUUGGCUUACCAUGGUUUCAACGGGUAACGGGGAAUUAGGGUUCGAUUCCGGAGAGGGAGCCUGAGAAACGGCUACCACAUCCAAGGAAGGCAGCAGGCGCGCAAAUUACCCAAUCCCGACGCGGGGAGGUAGUGACAAUAAAUACUGAUACAGGGCUCUUUCGGGUCUUGUAAUCGGAAUGAGUACAAUUUAAACCCCUUAACGAGGAACAAUUGGAGGGCAAGUCUGGUGGACAUUCAGCGUCCCAUUCUGCUGACGCCAGAGAUAGCCAGGCGGUCCUACGACCGUUAUGCUGGCUAGUCGAGUAUCUACAGAUCUGAUGGGGAGAUACCGGCGAGACAACCUGGAUCGGGGAAAGCUAAGGCGGAGACGCUAUGCUAAUCCCGAGCAGAGCCCGUGUGGAGCGAUCCUCACCAUGGCCUGUGUAGAGCACGGAAAGGUGUCGGUCGGCUCGCAAGAGUCGGCUUAAGGGACGUGCCAAUCCCACCUGAAAGGGUGGCUACCAGCAAUAGCGCCCAUCUCGCGAAGGCUGGUAGGUUCGAAUAUUUGACAAUCGUGAAGCGGACAGCGCGUGUUUGACUGGCUCUAGCCUAGGCUGCAGUGGAGAUCCACGCACCCGAGGGCGGCGUCGACAAGCCCGUCGCCGGUUCCUUCGCCUGUCAAAUGUUUGUUCGAUAUCUUGGCCAGCAGCCGCGGUAAUUCCAGCUCCAAUAGCGUAUAUUAAAGUUGUUGCAGUUAAAAAGCUCGUAGUUGAACCUUGGGCCUGGCUGGCCGGUCCGCCUCACCGCGUGUACUGGUCCGGCCGGGCCUUUCCUUCUGGAGAGCCGCAUGCCCUUUACUGGGUGUGUUGGGGAACCAGGACUUUUACUUUGAAAAAAUUAGAGUGUUCAAAGCAGGCCUUUGCUCGAAUACGUUAGCAUGGAAUAAUAGAAUAGGACGUGCGGUCCUAUUUUGUUGGUUUCUAGGACCGCCGUAAUGAUUAAUAGGGAUAGUCGGGGGCAUCAGUAUUCAAUUGUCAGAGGUGAAAUUCUUGGAUUUAUUGAAGACUAACUACUGCGAAAGCAUUUGCCAAGGAUGUUUUCAUUAAUCAGUGAACGAAAGUUAGGGGAUCGAAGACGAUCAGAUACCGUCGUAGUCUUAACCGUAAACUAUGCCGACUAGGGAUCGGGCGAUGUUUCUAUCUUGACUCGCUCGGCACCUUACG
rnacentral:rRNA from 1 species